rnacentral:tmRNA from 1 species
GGGGCCGACCUGGAUUCGACGCCGGUACUGAAUUCUGUGGUGCAUGCCGAGAAGGUCACGAGUCUCGUAAAUCAUUUGUGGCAC